rnacentral:rRNA from 1 species
CCCUUAGAUGUCCUGGGCCGCACGCGCGCUACAAUGAUGAAUUCAACGAGUUUAUAACCUUGGUUGAAAAGCCUGGGUAAUCUUUUGAACUUUCGUCGUGAUGGGGCUAGACCCUUGCAAUUAUUGGUCUCCAACGAGGAAUUCCUAGUAAACGCAAGUCAUCAGCUUGCAUUGAUUACGUCCCUGCCCUUUGUACACACCGCCCGUCGCACCUACCGAUUGAAUGGUCCGGUGAAAUCUUCGGAUUGAGACUUUGAUUUCUUCACGGAAAACGCUGUUUUAAGAAGUUGAUUAAACCUUACCAUUUAGAGGAAGGUGAAGUCGUAACA